ACCAUUUCAAAUGCCAGAGCCUCCAGUGAGGGCUUCUUUCCAGAGGCAACUUUGCUCUUUAAACUCAGACAGGGACUCAUUCUGCUGCCCAGGCUAGAAUGCAGUGGUGUAAUCAUGGCUCAUUGCAACCUCCACCUCCUGGGCUCGAGUGAUCCUCCCAUCUGAACCUCCCCAACUAGCUGGAACCACUGGUGCGCACUACCACAUCCGGCUAAUUUUUGCAUUUUUUGUAGAGACAGGUUUUCACCACGUUGCCCAGGCUAAUCUCAAACUCCUGAACUCAAGCGAUCUGCCCACCUCGGCCACCCAAAGUGCCAGGAUUACAGGUAUGAGACACUGUGUGGUCCCCUCAACUUAUUUUUUUAACAUUUUUUUUUCCAAUGAAGUUGCUUGUCUCUUUCACUUUUGUCCAAUUUGUUUCUUAUAUUUUCUUUUUAUUAUUAUUUUAAUAUUGAUUCAUUUUUUAACUCUUUUUUAUUCCUUUUAUUUCUUUCCCUAGUUUAUUUCAUAACUCACUUUUAUGCUUAUUUCUAUUUUACUGAUUUCAGUAUUAAUUAUUUUAAAUUGCUUUCUUUUGCACAGUUUUAGCUUUAUUAUUUCUUAUAUUAUGCUAUUUAUUCUUUAUUUUUGCUCAACUUCUUAGUUUCUGGCAUUCUGUUCUUUCACUUUAUCUCAUUGGUUUAAUUUCAUAAUUCAAAUUAUUUCCUGGUUAUUUUAACGUUCAUUUUAAGAAAUUGUUAUUGCUUUUAAUUUAAAAAAUGGUCUUUAUAUGGUAUAUGAAAAACAAUUCAAUAUGGAUAGCCCCAAGGACAAAGAGUCUGUACCAUGGAAAGGUGGCCUUGCAGUUUUCUAUCAAACUUCCCAGGAGCAGAAAUUUGCAACCUCCUCUUUGCCGCAACACACCAAAAGGAGCAGAAUCAUUGACUCUUAGUAGUUCUCAGCUGUGAUGCAACAAAGCAUUUCAAAACCUCUAGCUGAAUGCUAAGACAAAGGCUUCUCAUUGUGUGAAAGCUGAAGGAUCUCUCCCUGCAUUCCCUUCAUGGGCAUCUCUAGGCUACUUGGCCUCAUGGAUGCUUCAGGCUCUCCAGUGGCUUCAGAGAUCCCUAGUUUCCAGGACAGGAACCCAGAACCUGAAGAAUAAUGGGAGCAAAAAAGUUUGUAACAUACUCCUGGCCAGCUCACCAAGCUGAAGGGGGUGAGGAUGACAGGAGCUGUGACCCUUCUGGGGGCCCAGACCUUGGGACUCUCUGAGCCAGAGCUGUAACACACCACUGUUCACUAAGCCACAGGCGGCAGGAAUGAACAAGCUAUAAUACGUUCCCACUCGCCGAGCUGCAAGCAGCAGGAAGGAGAAAGAGAGUUGUGGCAUUCCCCGGUGUCUCAGACCUCGGGACUCCCCUAGCAGAAGCUGUGACCCCCACUUGGUGCUCCGUGGUUGCUUGUUUUUCUGAGUUCUCUGGCACCACCUUGUCCCUCCUUGUCUGAAGGCCCACACCCAGCUGUGGAAACCACUUUGGGCACACCCGGUCCCACUAUGGGCUGUGCGCAGAGCUGUGGUGAUCACAGAAUCUGGGAGUGAGCCAACAACAGCCUGCCAGGCCAAGCGGGCGGAGCAAGCCCAGAGGGACUGAGCAAAGCUGGGGCAGAGUACCAGCCACAGAGGUUUUCAGCUGGCAAAGCGGCAGCAAAAGAAUCCUGUCUCAUCAUCAUGUUACAACUUCCUUUGGACAGUUUCUUAACUUCAUUCCCUGUCUCUAUAUUUCACCUUAUAAUCAAAACUCUAUGUCAUCCAUAGAUCAAUUUUUCUAAAAUGCAAAUGAAAUCAUGUCUUAAGAUAUUAUGUAAAGGCCUUUUAUAAAAUACAUUUUUUUCUAUAUUAUGAUUAUUUUUCAUUGUAGAGAUGGGGGUCUCACUAUGUUGCCCAGGCUUAAAAGCCUUUCUUAUUGAUAUCUGAAAAGGGUGAAGUUUUAAUAUGACACACCGGGCCUGUGCCUAGUUCUAGAGUCUCAUUUUGAGUGUCUCUUCCCCAUGGAUGCUAUAGUUCAGCAAACUUAAAAUUGAACUGCCCCAAACUCUCUCACUUGCCUCUCUGUUUUUCCUUAAGUGCAGUUACUUCUUUUCUUUGCAAUAUUCUUUUUUGUGUCUCUUUCUUUCUUUCUUUUUUCCCAUUCACCACUGAUCAGAAGGCAGGAAUAUUUUCUUUCUUGAUUGCCCUUUUUAGGAAAUCAACUUGAGUUUCAAUCCUAACUUUGAGAUAUUACUUUGUACUCCAGUCAGUUUGUUGUCUCUUUUUAAAAUGUUUCCGGCUGGGUGUGGUGGCUCAUGCCUGUAAUCUCAAUGCUUUGGGAUGCUGAGGCAGGAACACUGCUUGAGGCCAGGAGCUCAAGAUGAGCCUGGGCAACAAAGUGAGGCCCCAUCUCUGCAAGAAAUUUUUAAAAAUACAAUAAGAUAGAGAGGAAAUAAGAUAAUUACUUCUGAAGGAGGUAACAUGUUCUAUAAAUCAGAAGUAUGACUGGAGGUAUGAGGUAUCCUGGAGGUAUGUGUGGAUUUAUCUGCCUGGUAUGGCCCAAUUCUCUUUGUUAUUAAAGCAGGAAAUCAACACGACUCAAGUUUAGCACCAGGUAACGUAGGUUUCAUGUGGCAAGAUGACUUAGCUAAACUUGAUCAUCAUGUUUGAAGCCAAUGGCUGCUGAUCUUUACUUCCCUAUCAAACCUGCUGCAAUGCUUUAUAGUAAUGGCUAUGUACUUUCUAUACACUGUCUCCUUCAGUCUUAUGUCUCUUUCCAAUACUCAGAGUGGAAUGGAGUUUAGGGAUUGCUCCCUGGUCUAUCCAAUUUUCCAAAAUUACUACUCUGGGUAAGAUUUUUUUUUUUUUUUUAAUUUUUUGAGACAGGGUCUCACUCUGGCUGCUCAGGCUGGAAGGCAGUAGCACCAUCACAGUGCACCGUAGCCUCGACCUCCAAGUUCCAGGCUCAAGUGAUCCUCCCUCCUCAGCCCUACAGGCAUGUGCCACUGCACCUAGCUAAUUUAAAAUUUUUUUUGGUAGACUCCCUAAUUUGCCCAGGCUGGUCUCAAACUCCUGAGAUCAAGCAAUUCUCCCACCUCAGCCUCCCAAAAUGUUGGGAUUACAGGCAUGAGCCACCACACCUAGCCAAGAUAUUCUUCACUGUAUUCCACGGGACCAUACCUCCUGUCCAGGGAGAACUCCCUGGCUCACAAAAGAUAAGAGUGCACUCUCUAUGCCUAGCUUCUUUUUUUAUAUUUAUUUAUUUGUGACAGGGUCAGGUUUUGCUGCCCAGGCUAGAGUGCAGUGGUGCAAUCAUGGCUCAGUGGCUCACUGCAGCCUGGACCUCCCAGGCUCAAGCAAUCUCCCACCUCAGCCUCCUGAGAAGCUGAGACUACAGGCGCAUGCCACUACAUCUGUCUGAUUUUUGUAUUUUUAUUUUAUAGAGAUGGGAGUCUCCCUAUGUUGCCCAGGCUAGUCUCAAACUCCUAGGCUCAAACAUUCCACCUGCCUUGGCCUCCCGAAGUGCUGGGAUUACAGGCAUAAGCCACUGUGUCUGGCCCCACACUUGGACUUCGUAGGUCUGAAACUUCAUUUUAUUCAAGAGCUAUUCUUAAUAUAAUAGUUUGUGGUUUAAGAUUAUAGCUAUUAACUUUUAUUAAAGACAGAAUUUUCUUCUCAGUUUUCUAAAAAGCUUUUUUUUUUUUCAUAUUCUCUUGGCUUUAAAGAGAAGAGCAGUGUAAAAGUGGCUAGUCUGCCCCUUUAACUGCAAGUUCCCCUUAAAUCUUACUUUCACUUCCACAGUGUUACUGAACCUCCUCUCUGACAAAGGUCUAAUGACUUCCUAAUUGACAAAUCAAAAACUGCCUUCUCUGCUGACAGCCUCUACAUUGAAAGCUUUCGUUCCUAUCACUUCUUUUACAGUGCAAAUCUCAGUUAAUUUCUAUUCUCAUUCUCCUUUGUCUUCUCUUUCAAUCUCACUCCACUCUUUUCCUUGGGUUACUAAGGACAAACAUAUCCCUUUAUUUUUGUACUUGUAGCAGUUUUUGUACUGCUCUUAAUAACCCUUAGUAUAGGCUAAGUUCUCACUUUACCUGUACACAUGAUUGCUGCUGUGAUUUGUUUGACACGGCUUUACCUCCUUCUCCAGAGGAUGCAACAAUAAGGCACCAUCUUGGAAGCAGAAAGCAGCCCUCACCAGACACCAAAUCUGCCAGCACCUUGAUCUUGGAUUUCCCAGACUCCAGAACUGUGAGAAAUAAAUUUUUAUUUUUUAUCAAUGAGCCAGUCUAAGGUAUUUUGUUAUAGCAACGCAAACGGACCAAGAUAAUUACCUUUUUUUACUAGAAUAUUUGUUACCUGAGCAUGAAGUUUUAUCUUUCUUUACUGCCUUUUACAUAGGAGGUAAUCAAAUGUGUCCUGAAUUCAGGUUAUUAAAUUAUAUAAUGAAUUAGAUUAUAUUGCCACUGUGUUGUCUCUUUUCACCAAAAUCUACUAAUAAAUAGUUAUGUUAAGAAAUUAAAUAUAUUGCCAGGUGCGGUGGCUCACGCUGUAAUCCCAGCACUUUGGGAAGCUGAGGCGGGCGGAUCACAAGGUCAGAAGUUCAAGACCAGCCUGGCCAAGAGACCAGCCUGGUCAAUAUGGUGAAACCCUAUCUCUACUAAAAA
rnacentral:lncRNA from 1 species